rnacentral:snRNA from 1 species
UCGCUUCAGCAGUGUAUAUACAAAAAACUGGAAAGAUACAGAGAUUAGCAUGGUGCCUGCGCAAAGAUGACAUACAGAUUUGUGAAGCAUUUCAUAUAUUU